AAUAGAAGUAUUCCAUUCUCCUUCGUCAUUCAUCGGAGAGCUCUCUUUAGGCUUUCCGAAAAGAUAUCACAUGCCAAGUUUGGCCUCACGGUUUAAAAGUUAUAGAGUCAUAGAUUUUUAACAAAACAAAAAGAGAAAAACCGAAAAAAAAUUGGGAUGCAACACGAGGACUUUCCUGGAGGUCACCCAUCCUAGUACUACUCUUGCCCAAGCACCCUUAACUGCGUAGUUCUGAUGGGAUCCGAUGCUUUAGGGCUGGUAUGAUCGCAUCUGUUACUACAUGCAAUGUAAUCGUAUCUAUUCUUUUUUAAAGACUUUAUGAUCCAUUUGCCGUGGGUCCCACCAGCUAUGUAGGAAUACCCUAUCUUCUUUAUAAGAGCUUUGAUAAAUGCAAAAUAUU
rnacentral:sRNA from 1 species